rnacentral:rRNA from 1 species
ACGAACGCUGGCGGCGUGCUUAACACAUGCAAGUCGAACGGAAAGGCCCUUCGGGGGUACGUCGAGUGGCGAACGGGUGAGUAACACGUGGGUGAUCUGCCCUGCACUCUGGGAUAAGCCUGGGAAACUGGGUCUAAUACCGGAUAGGACUGCGCAUCGCAUGGUGUGUGGUGGAAAGCUUUUGCGGUGUGGGAUGGGCCCGCGGCCUAUCAGCUUGUUGGUGGGGUGAUGGCCUACCAAGGCGACGACGGGUAGCCGGCCUGAGAGGGUGUCCGGCCACACUGGGACUGAGAUACGGCCCAGACUCCUACGGGAGGCAGCAGUGGGGAAUAUUGCACAAUGGGCGCAAGCCUGAUGCAGCGAACCGCCGCGUGGGGGAUGACGGCCUUCGGGUUGUAAACCUCUUUCAGUAUCGGCGAAGCUUGCGGGUUUUCUCGCGGGUGACGGUAGGUACAGAAGAAGCACCGGCCAACUAUGUGCCAGCAGCCGC